rnacentral:rRNA from 1 species
UAUGUGAUCGUCUCUCGCAUAUCAAUAAGCGGAGGAAAAGAAACUAACAAGGAUUCCCCUAGUAACGGCGAGUGAAGCGGGAAGAGCUCAAAUUUGAAAUCUUAAAGGGUUUCCCUUUACGAAUUGUAGUUUAAAGAAGUGUUUUCUGUUGAGGUUUUGGUAAAAGUUCUUUGGAAUAGGACAUCAUAGAGGGUGAGAAUCCCGUAUUUGACCUUUACCUUUCAACUUUGUGAUACACUUUCAAAGAGUCGGAUUGUUUGGGAAUGCAGUCCAAAAUGGGUGGUAAAUUUCAUCUAAAGCUAAAUAUUGGCGAGAGACCGAUAGCGAACAAGUACCGUGAGGGAAAGAUGAAAAGAACUUUGAAAAGAGAGUUAAACAGUACGUGAAAUUGUCAAAGGGGAAGCGUUUGACACCAGUGUUGUUUUUCUGAAAAUCAAUUAAAGAACUGUUUAUGCUAAGUUGUUUAGACUUUAUCAGCUAACUGUUUAGUUUUGAGCUUUUCUUUAAUGCACUUUUCAGUUAACAAGUCAACAUCAAUUUCUUUUGCUGUAAAAAAGCUUGAGGAAGGUGGCUUGAGAUUCGUCUUAAGUGUUUAUAGCCUCUUGCCUAUGCAGUCGGAGAGAUUGAGGUCUGCAGCGUAGAUCCUUCGGGGCUAAAUGCAUUUGUGCUAAGUUAUAGCAUUUUAUAGACAACUUGUUGACUAUGAUUUGUCUUGUAGCUUACUCGCUUAUGUUAUUUUACCUACGCUUAGGAUGUUGACACACGCGCGUGCUCG